UACGUAGGGUGCAAGCGUUAAUCGGAAUUACUGGGCGUAAAGCGUGCGCAGGCGGUGAUGUAAGACAGAUGUGAAAUCCCCGGGCUCAACCUGGGAACUGCAUUUGUGACUGCAUCGCUGGAGUGCGGCAGAGGGGGAUGGAAUUCCGCGUGUAGCAGUGAAAUGCGUAGAUAUGCGGAGGAACACCGAUGGCGAAGGCAAUCCCCUGGGCCUGUACUGACGCUGAGGAGCGAAAGCGUGGGGAGCGAACAGG
rnacentral:rRNA from 1 species